UACGUAGGGUGCAAGCGUUGUCCGGAAUUAUUGGGCGUAAAGAGCUCGUAGGCGGUUUGUCGCGUCUGCUGUGAAAAUCCAGGGCUUAACCCUGGACCUGCAGUGGGUACGGGCAGACUAGAGUGCGGGUAGGGGAGAUCGGAAUUCCUGGUGUAAGCGGUGAAAUGCGCAGAUAUCAGGAGGAACACCGGUGGCGAAGGCGGAUCUCUGGGCCGUAACUGACGCUGAGGAGCGAAAGCAUGGGGAGCGAACAGG
rnacentral:rRNA from 1 species